GAGGAAAGAGGGAGGCGUGCCUAAUACAUGCAAGUCGAGCGAACAGACGAGGAGCUUGCUCCUCUGACGUUAGCGGCGGACGGGUGAGUAACACGUGGAUAACCUACCUAUAAGACUGGGAUAACUUCGGGAAACCGGAUCUAAUACCGGAUAAUAUAUUGAACCGCAUGGUUCAAUAGUGAAAGACGGUUUUGCUGUCACUUAUAGAUGGAUCCGCGCCGCAUUAGCUAGUUGGUAAGGUAACGGCUUACCAAGGCAACGAUGCGUAGCCGACCUGAGAGGGUGAUCGGCCACACUGGAACUGAGACACGGUCCAGACUCCUACGGGAGGCAGCAGUAGGGAAUCUUACGCAAUGGGCGAAAGCCUGACGGAGCAACGCCGCGUGAGUGAUGAAGGUCUUCGGAUCGUAAAACUCUGUUAUUAGGGAAGAACAAAUGUGUAAGUAAAUAUGCACGUAUUGACGGUACCUAAUCAGAAAGCCACGGCUAACUACGUG
rnacentral:rRNA from 1 species